UAGAGAUCAACUUUUAGAGCUUCACGAGUGUGUUUAGUUACAAAAUGAGACAAAAGUUAUUUACUUGAUCAAGUCUUCAACGAAGCUUCUAGUUGAAACAUGUGUUUUCGAGAUAAGCAUCAAAGGAGGACCGUCACUUGUUUGAACAAGAUAAAGUUUGCCCAAAAUAGAGACUUUUGGAGACAAAAUACUAUCUCAAAAAAAGAUUGUAAAAGUACAAAUCAACUCAAAAUUCAAUUGAUUCAAGGUAAGGUGUACAAAAGGGGACCCUUAAGCCUUCUUAUAUAGCCUUUGGAGUGAGCUUCGAGAAUAGAUUCAAGAGAUGUGGGAUUUUUGAGUGUGAGGGCUGGCCAACAGCUCCUGCACGUCUUCUAGGGGCUUUUGAGUCCCACAUUGCUUAAAUUUUUCCACUCCAAAAGGUUUAUAAGGCAACUAGUUCUCCUAUAGUUCAAAAUAUGAAAGCUAGCUAUGCUAUCUAGUACUACACGCCUAGCUACUGAACUUGUGAAACUUUUGACUCUGGAAAAAUCAAUGAGAGGUGCAAUAAAACUUGUUACUGCUCUGAAACUUCCAAACUUGGCCGAAAGGUUCAACAGCAUAUUGGAGGGGAAGGAAAAAAUGCUCUACGGAAACCAACAUCAAAGAAAACUGUGUUGCACUCAUUAAAGCUGAUGCUCUUCAUAAUGCAAGCAAGGCCCCAACUCAAUCAUUAAACGCAGUUACGAUGUCAUCACCAUUAUAAUGUAACAGAUCUCUGCUAGUUUAAUGAAGUGUCUUCCCUAUGGACCUAAUACAUAUAACUAUUGCAUCAUUGAUUU